GUUUAUAGCAAAAUGAAGACAGAAGGUGGGAUGUUUCAUGCUGUUGUUGAUGUUAUGACUGAGCCUCAGUUAACGAUGUAGGUAUGAUAUGAAAAGCAACUCCUGGAUAGUUGUCAUUGCAUGAAAAAGGUGCCAGAUGAGACUGGUAGCAUUACCUGUGUUAAGAGAAAUCUUCAAUGAGCAGCGCCUGCAAGAGCUAAGGAAACUUGUAGCCAGAGAGCACCUGAAUGCUGACAAUCCUGUUCCUUCAAAGAAGGUUCAGAGUUGUUCACCUGCUCAAAGGAUGUGUUAUGAGAUAUGUUGUUUGCUAGACGGCCAGGGAGUUCAACUGAAUUGGAGGAAGAUUUGCCCUAUUCUUGGCCAUGGCAUGGUGACCUCUUAUUACUGAAUAAGGACUGCUUCAAAGCCAAUCAUUGGGUAAAACUAGAACCAGAACAAUAGGAUAUUGUUGGCUAGCACAUGGCAUCCAGGGUUUAGCAAAAUGAAGAUGAGUAUUCACCAGAUAGCACUCAAACUCAAACAGUGUGCUGUUGGGUAAGUGUGGCUGGGUAAAGUGUGUGGAUAAUGGUAUC
rnacentral:lncRNA from 1 species